ACGAACGCUGGCGGCAUGCCUAACGCAUGCCAGUCGAACGAAGGCUUCGGCCUUAGUGGCGCACGGGUGCGUAACGCGUGGGAAUCUGCCCUUUGGUUCGGAAUAACAGCUGGAAACGGCUGCUAAUACCGGAUGAUGACGAAAGUCCAAAGAUUUAUCGCCAGAGGAUGAGCCCGCGUUGGAUUAGGUAGUUGGUGGGGUAAAGGCCUACCAAGCCGGCGAUCCAUAGCUGGUCUGAGAGGAUGAUCAGCCACACUGGGACUGAGACACGGCCCAGACUCCUACGGGAGGCAGCAGUGGGGAAUAUUGGACAAUGGGCGCAAGCCUGAUCCAGCAAUGCCGCGUGAGUGAUGAAGGCCCUAGGGUUGUAAAGCUCUUUUACCCGGGAAGAUAAUGACUGUACCGGGAGAAUAAGCCCCGGCUAACUCCGU
rnacentral:rRNA from 1 species